AUCAUGUUCAAUGUAAACAAAGAAACGCGAUCAUCAGGUAACGUUUUAUUCAUAUCAAAGACAUUUGAAGAUUUAUUAAGAAUGAAAUUGGUUUUGUGUUCCUUGAUUUCCUAUAUUUAACUAGACAACUCAAAGUCUCAUGACAAAGAGACCGAAAAAAGGAAGUAGAUUUCUGCGUUCUGCGCAAAUGCAGAAAUUCAAAGCACG
rnacentral:lncRNA from 1 species